GGCUCCAGUAACACGUCGAUAACCUGCCCUUAAGUCUGGGAUAACCUUGGGAAACUGAGGAUAACACCGGAUAAGGAAAUCCUACUGGAAGGUGGAUUUCUUCAAAAGCAAUGCUUAAGGAUGGGUCGGCGGCGGAUUAGGUUGUUGGCGAGGUAAUGGCUCACCAAGCCGAAGAUCCGUAGGGGCCUUGAAAGAGGUAGCCCCGAGGAGGGCACUGAGAUACAGGCCCUAGCUCCACGGAGUGCAGCAGGCGCGAAACCUUCGCAAUGCACGCAAGUGUGACGAGGGAACCCUGAGCGAUAACGUUUUACGUUAUCUUUUGCCAAGAGCAAAUAUCUUGGCGAAUAAGUGGUGGGCAAUACCUGUGCCAGCCGCCGCGGUAACCCAGGAACCACAAGUGGCAACCACCUUUAUUUGGCCUAAAGCGUCCGUAGCCGGUUUUGUAAAUUUCCUGUGAAAUCGUUGCGCUUAACGUAACGACGCGCAGGAAAAACUGCAAGACUAGGGACCGGGAGGAGUCAGAGGUAUUUUGGGGGGAGCGGUAAAAUGCUAUAAUCCCCGAAGGACCACCUGUGGUGAAGACGUCUGACUAGAACGGAUUCGACGGUGAGGGACGAAAGCUAGGGGAGCAAUCCGGAUUAGAUACCCGAGUAGUCCUAGCCAUAAACUCUGCGAGUUAGGUGUUGCAUAAUCUUCGGGAUUGUGCAGUGUCGUAGUGAAGACGAUAAACUCGCCGCCUGGGA
rnacentral:rRNA from 1 species